GAUGAACGCUGGCGGCGUGCCUAAUACAUGCAAGUCGAGCGAACAGACGAGGAGCUUGCUCCUCUGACGUUAGCGGCGGACGGGUGAGUAACACGUGGAUAACCUACCUAUAAGACUGGGAUAACUUCGGGAAACCGGAGCUAAUACCGGAUAAUAUAUUGAACCGCAUGGUUCAAUAGUGAAAGACGGUUUUGCUGUCACUUAUAGAUGGAUCCGCGCCGCAUUAGCUAGUUGGUAAGGUAACGGCUUAUCAAGGCAACGAUGCGUAGCCGACCUGAGAGGGUGAUCGGCCACACUGGAACUGAGACACGGUCCAGACUCCUACGGGAGGCAGCAGUAGGGAAUCUUCCGCAAUGGGCGAAAGCCUGACGGAGCAACGCCGCGUGAGUGAUGAAGGUCUUCGGAUCGUAAAACUCUGUUAUUAGGGAAGAACAAGUGUGUAAGUAACUAUGCACGUCUUGACGGUACCUAAUCAGAAAGCCACGGCUAACUACGUG
rnacentral:rRNA from 1 species